GAUGAACGCUAGCUACAGGCUUAACACAUGCAAGUCGAGGGGUAACAAGAGGAAAGCUUGCUUUCCUUAUCGACGACCGGCGCACGGGUGAGUAACGCGUAUCCAACCUGCCCCCAACUAGGGAAUAACCUUGCGAAAGUAAGACUAAUACCCUAUAAUUUCCUCAGAUGUCAUCUGACGAGGAAUAAAGAUUUAUCGGUUGUGGAUGGGGAUGCGUCUGAUUAGCUUGUUGGCGGGGUAACGGCCCACCAAGGCAACGAUCAGUAGGGGUUCUGAGAGGAAGGUCCCCCACAUUGGAACUGAGACACGGUCCAAACUCCUACGGGAGGCAGCAGUGAGGAAUAUUGGUCAAUGGGCGGAAGCCUGAACCAGCCAAGUAGCGUGCAGGGUGACGGCCCUAUGGGUUGUAAACUGCUUUUAUACAGGAAUAAAGUUAGCCACGUGUGGUUAUUUGUAGGUACUGUAUGAAUAAGGACCGGCUAAUUCCGUGCCAGCCGCCGCCGUAA
rnacentral:rRNA from 1 species